AUUGAACGCUGGCGGCAGGCCUCACACAUGCAAGUCGAACGAGUGGCGGACGGGUGCGUAAUGACUGGGAAUCUAGCUUAUGGAGGGGGAUAACUACGGGAAACUGUAGCUAAUACCGCGUACCAUCGGAUGUGCCCAAGUGGGAGUAGCUAGUUGGUGAGGUAAAGGCUCACCUAGCCGACGAUCCCUAGCUGGUCUGAGAGGAUGACCAGCCACACUGGAACGGAGACACGGCCCAGACUCCUACGGUAGGCAGCAGGGGGGAAUAUUGCGCAAUGGGGGCAACCUGACGCAGCCAUGCCGCGUGAAUGAAGAAGGCCUUCGGGUUGUAAAGUACUUGCGGCGGCGAGGCGUGAACUACAGAAGAAGCACCGGCUAACUCCGUGCCAGCAGCCGCGGUAAUUC
rnacentral:rRNA from 1 species